GGGGAGAUGAAAGAUCAAGAGGCGUUGUUUUAGAGUUAGAGCCGUGACUGACCAUAUGCUUGUUUUGCAGUUAUUUCCAAAAAUAGAUGAUUAGUGGUGAGAAGCAACUGGUUUCUGAUGCUUAUAAGGGGGUCAGUUAAUAUUAUUUCCAACUGUUGGGGUAAGAUACAGGGUAGGCUGUGUACCUAACAGAAAGAGAUUGCUAAACUUCACAGUGCAUUGGAUCAGAUUUCAUGGAGCUCUUUACUGCCUCGACAAAGCUGUUGCCAAGUAAGAGGAAUUUCCCGGGGGUGGGGGGUGGGGGUGGGGGGGUGGGGGGGGGAAGGGGAGGAAGAAGGGGCUGGUAACUUGUGGCAGUCACUGCAGAUAUCCUAUAUUUUAAAUAGUGCUAAUCCACAAGCAAUUGAACAGUCAUUAAGAAACAGGGCCCAGUGAGUACAAAGAUGGGCAAAGGCGACACACUGGAGACCAUUUGGGUAGUGGGAUGGUGUCCAACAGGGGAAAUUAGUACUCUCUCUUCUCUAAAGACCCCUGGAUGUGUGGUGACUCCUAGGACAGAGAUUUCUCUUUUUUUUUUUUUUUUUUUUUUGAGAUUUCUCAAACCUUUAAUAUUUCCUGGAAAAGAGAAGAGGUUGAGGGGGCUCUGUUUUCAGGGGAAGAACACCUCGCUGUACCAUAUUACCUAUAAUCGACACCAAGAGAGUCGCAGGAGGAUGGAGGCAUGUGGAUGGCAGAGAACAUCCCUGGAGGUUCAGCUUGUUAAAGGCAGCAUCGACUUGAUCGAUAACUGAUGGGAAGGAGUGUAUUAAUAGCUCUGCUCCGUCACCGCUCAGGUGGCACGAGCCCGAGGUGCAUUUUCUACACUGGCUCCCAGUGAUGGCAGCAGGAUUAAGCUCUAAUUGUCUGCAGCGAUGACUCGCUUGAUAACAAACCUGUCAUUGGCUGUCUUCCCUUUGCCCUCUCACUUCCUUGAAAACUCCCCUGAUGGUGUUUCUCGAGAUUUCCUCUCAAAUAAACUGUUUA
rnacentral:lncRNA from 1 species